UACGUAGGGGGCUAGCGUUGUCCGGAUUUAUUGGGCGUAAAGAGCGUGUAGGCGGCCAGGUAGGUCUGCUGUGAAAACUCGAGGCUCAACCUCGAGACGUCGGCGGAAACCAUCUGGCUAGAGUCCGGAAGAGGAGAGUGGAAUUCCUGGUGUAGCGGUGAAAUGCGCAGAUAUCAGGAAGAACACCCGUGGCGAAGGCGGCUCUCUGGGGACGGUACUGACGCUGAGACGCGAAAGCGUGGGGAGCGAACAGG
rnacentral:rRNA from 1 species